rnacentral:misc_RNA from 1 species
CACAUACAUGACAACAGAAGUUGAAGCAUCGAACGACUUGCCCUUCUCGCACCGUGGCAAGUACUCUUCCCUCCCCUCUGCGCGCCGUGCUUGAGUCCGCGACUGCCUGACCCACUCUGAUGAAGAUGGACGAAGGCUUUGAUGCACAUGUGGCGACCGUCACCCUUGAAGAGAUCCCGGCGUACGAGGAGCACGAGGUGACACUGCUGAGCGACGAUGAUGCGCUUCGGUACGAUAGCGUUACGGAGGUCACAAAACUACUCCGCUCGUCCUACUUGAGUGGAAUGCUACGUCGUUUGAGUGACUACGAGCAGACAACGGGUCGCGGCAAGAACUGCAUUCCAUCUGACGAUCCCGAGUACCAGUACGUGUCCGACUGCAGCUCGUUGGUGCUGCGCAUCGAGGUGGAGAAGAGUCGUGUGCACGUCUUUCUGCGUGCGCAGUACAGCAUACGCUUCCCGGAGCUGGCCAUGUUCUUCUCUGACAGCGUUCUCUACGCCAAAGUGGUCAAGAUAAUCCAAAACAGCGUCGACCUCAGCUCUGUCGUUGGGCAAUUGGACGAGCUCAUUCCGUCCCAGCUGCUGGUGGUGGUGGUGGCAUGUGCCUCGACGACGUCUGGCCGCGAUCUGUCUCCUGAGGAGUUGAGCCGUGUGCUGGAAGCGUGCGAGGAGCUUGAGAACCUCGAAAUGGCUAAGCAAACGUUCCUCGAAUACAUCCAGUGCUCGAUGCCGCUCAUCUGCCCCAAUCUGUGCGCCUUCCUCGGCACCGGCAUCACGUCGCAGCUCUUCGCCAUCUCGGGUAGCGUAGCAAAGCUGUCGAUCAUGGACCCCGCCGAUUUGGCGAGGCUCGGCAGUCGACGCUCCAACGACAGCGGAAUCGCAAUAAAAACAACUGGAUUCCUUAGUAACUGCGACCUGGUAGCAAAUCUGCCACCCCAGCUUCGGCCUAAAGCACUACGCUUGGUUUCAAGCGUUACACUGACGCUUGCGCGCAUUGACGCGAACCGGCGCGCCCCAACCAACUACGAAGGUGUCCGUGAGCGUCGACUGGCGUGUAACCGUAUGCGUGCUUGGCUGGACCCGCCAGUGCUGCGUGGCGCAGGGCACAACAUGUACGAGCGCCGCGGUCGAAAGCGUCGGCGCACGAGCUAAGGUGGUGCUGGCGUGUUCGCAGAAGUCGAGAUAAAUAGUGUGCUAGACUGCACGCUGUGUUGCCGGCAAGCUCCUGCAGCGACUUGCUUUGCUUUGUCGUUGUGCGUCUUGUUGCUCGCUUGUGCACGCCUGUUUUGCUGCCUGUCGCGCUUGUGCCCGAGGAAUUCUGUCUUGGGCCAGACUUGCCACGAGUGCUGUCUUGAGGGCACGAU